CAAUGAAUAACAAGUUCUAUUGAGAUUGCUCCCCAUGUCAUCGAAGAAGCCAGAAUGAACAAGUCUUAAGCCCCCGUUGAGGUUUAGACUUGAGAUGUCAAGGUAGAUCAGUUUUGUUAGCAAUGUGAAACUAGAGGUGCCAUUUACCUUGAUAAGAAUCUAGCCUUGUGUAAGCAGUUUUGAAGAUACUUUACAGAAAAUGGUAGCCUCAUUGGCCAGAGAAGUGCUAAAAGAAUGUGAAACAAUCUUUACCCUCCCCUUAUCUUAUUCUUUGCUUCAUUUAUCUUGUGCUACUACAUACCUUUCUCUUUAUCCUUCCUAAUUUACUCAUCAUAUCGUUUUUGAUUUCGAAUCCAUACUACUAUGUACAAUAUUUAGAUGAUCAUCAAUUUGUGUCACCACUCAGC
rnacentral:lncRNA from 1 species